rnacentral:tRNA from 1 species
CCCAGGCGUGGCGGGUGCCCGGCCGGCUCUCAUAAGGCCGGCCUCCCGGAUCGACACCGGGGCCUGGGAC